UUAUAUGAGAGUUUGAUCCUGGCUCAGGACGAACGCUGGCGGCGUGCCUAAUACAUGCAAGUCGAACGCACGAAGUUGAAGAGCUUGCUCUUUAACCAAGUGAGUGGCGGACGGGUGAGUAACACGUGGGUAACCUACCCAUUAGAGGGGGAUAACAUUCGGAAACGGAUGCUAAUACCGCAUAGUUUCAGGAAUCGCAUGAUUCGUGAAGGAAAGGUGGCUUCGGCUACCACUAAUGGAUGGACCCGCGGCGUAUUAGCUAGUUGGUGAGGUAAUGGCUCACCAAGGCAAUGAUACGUAGCCGACCUGAGAGGGUGAUCGGCCACACUGGGACUGAGACACGGCCCAGACUCCUACGGGAGGCAGCAGUAGGGAAUCUUCCGCAAUGGACGAAAGUCUGACGGAGCAACGCCGCGUGAGUGAAGAAGGUUUUCG
rnacentral:rRNA from 1 species